AAGCCUGCUGCUAACACCCACCCCACAUUCCCAUUGAAGCCUUACUUGUGGCCAGUGCAUACACACUGACGCAGAGAAAACAUUUGAAAGAUGGAAGGAAAAGCAGCUUUGGCUACUGGUGUAUCCAGUGCACCCACAUACUUGGCUUGGUCCAUCUUUAACACAAUAUGCUGCUGUACUCCAAUUGGAAUUGUUGCAAUUGUGUUCUCCUGCCGGACGGACACAGCUAACCUUAUUGGUGAUACUACAAGAGCUAAUGCGCAUUCCAGGUUGGCCAAGAAAUUGAAUAUCAUCGCCCUGGUGAUUGGCAUCAUUUUCCUCAUCAUUGUCAUCAUCUUUUAUGCUUUUUUGCUUCAACAGUCCUAAAUGUGCAGUACAAGGCAGUGGAAACAAAUCACACUCUGUUAUGGUCACAAAAGUAUGAAAGUAUUUGAAAACACUCCCCGUUUGGCUCCGAUGGUGGUUUGUUUUUGUUUUUUUAUUUCAUUCCAUUUUUUGAUGAAAAAAACCCUAUUGUAUUGCAUAACAUUGUAUUAGCCAUUAUUGAUGUAUUGUUAUUUUUAUAUAAAUGCUUUGCUAUUCUUUUUAUAUGAAUGCAUCCUAAUUUCUAUAUAUGAAUGUAUGACAUAAAGAUUCAAAUAAAAUCUGUCAGAAUGUA